GUUAAAAUAUUUUAAUACAUUAUUUACUAAUACAUUUUUUAUUUAAUGUUUUAUUUUAAGAUUAGUUUAUGUACUGUGAAAUAACAUGAACAUGAAUAUUUUUAAUGAUAGGAUUAACUAAAGCAAAAAAAGAUUAAUAAAUGAGCUGACUGUUAUUUAAUGCAUUAACUAAUGUAAACCAAAAGAGAGCCAACACUUUUCAUGAUCUAUAACCAUUUUAAAAAAUCCUUUUAAUGAUCUAUAAACAUUUGUGAAAUGAUUAUAUAAAACUAUAUUACCAGUAAAAUUAAUUAACUUUUUAAAAUACAUAUUUUUCUUUGAAAGAUUUGUAUAAAUGAUUCAAAUGCUCUAUACGUGUUUCUACAAUAAUUAUUUAAAAGUAAUCCUAUAGCUCCAUCUGGUGGCCAUCACUGGUAGUAAAAAAUGCAUGCUUGAUCCUGAAGUUAUGAUAGUUUUAAUUUUAUGCUGGCUCCUGAACAUGAUAAAGUUAUGAAACUUACUGUGUUUUCUAAGAUUGUCUUCUACUACAUAUGUAAAAAAUUAUGAAGGGUUAGAAUACAGAAUUGAAAAGAUAUAGGAAAAUAACUGUUGCAUUUUUUUUAUAUUAUUUUAAUAAAUUGCUAUGGGCACACCGUUCAAGGCAUCAUGUUGACAAAGUUUGGUGUGAAAUACUUGUUUCUUCUUGGAGGAGUAUGAAUUAAUUUACAGCAUGAUUUUUCAAAAAUCCACAUUAAAAAUCAAAAUAGCCGACUUUCUGUUGGUCGUAGCUAAUGACUGUAAAUUAGAAAGUUGUCCGGCUUGAUAAGAUCCAUAUACGUACCAAGUUUGGUGUCUGUAGCUAAAACUAAGCCCCCCACUUUUGACAAAAGGUGGCGCUAUAGAGUGCCUCCUCCACGCCCUUUCAUGUGCUUUUGCCAUUGUCUAUAUAUCAUUAGGACUGAUAUGUGCUUUGAAUUCAGCAUCUUAUUUUCACUCGAUUUGCUUCAAACUUCAUCAGAAUAAUGACAAAACACGGCCGAUGUAAAUCUGUUGUGGGGAUAUUGAUAUCUAAUAUAGUGUUGCCAUUGUAACGUGUCAAUCUUGAAUAUUCUGUUCUAGUGAUUUUGAGGCAGAUAAAAUGCUCAGAAUUACAUGAAACUCAUAACACAUAUCAGUAUUAAUGAUAGCUAGACAAUGGCAAAAGCACAUGAAAGGGCGUGGAGGAGGCACUCUAUAGCGCCACCUUUUGUCAAAAGUGGGGGGGUUAGUUUUUAGCUACAGACACCAAACUUGGUAUAUAUAUUGUUCUUAUCAAGACGGACAACUUUCUAAUUUACAGUCAUCAGCUGCGACCUACAGGAAGUCGGCUAUUUUGGUUUAAAUGUGGAUUUUUGGAAAAAUAUGGCUGUGAAUUAAUGCAUACUCCACAGAGGAGAAUUACACUAUACACACCAAACUUUGUCUACAUGAUGCCAAUAUACUGAAGAUGUUAAAUUGCGAACGGGUUUAGGAUACCUUGAACGGUAUGGCCACAGCGAUUUAUUAAAGUAACAUUAAAAAAUGCAACAGUUAUUUUCCUAUAUCUUUUGAAUUCUUUAUUCUAACCCUUCAUAAUUUUUUACAUAUGUAGUAGAAGUCAUUCUUAGAAAACUUCUUAGAAAAUUUCAUAAAUUUAUCAUGUUCAGACGUAUUGCCGUAAACAAUGUAUUUUGCAGCACCACAAAAUAAACGAUAGAGCACAAUAUGAAUCGAUAGACUUUUAAUUUCGUCCAUCUGACUUAUAUCGUCAUAUCGCUCAGGCCUAGCAUUAAAUAAUGUCUCUCUCUCUCUCUCACACACACACACACACACACACACAAAGAAUAUAUAUAAAAUUAUUGUAACACUUUUCAGUAAGGUUUUAGUUUUUAACAUUAUAAGUUAACAUGUACAUCAUUUAUAUAACAUUUAUGAAUCUUAGUUAAUAUUUUGUUCAAAAUGGAUUACUACAUUAUUAAUUAAAAUAUAUAGAUAAUGUUCAUCAGUUAUUGUACCAUGAUUUAACAUAUACAAUUUUUUACUAACACAAAUAAAUGCAGUAAAAAAUACGUUGUUCAGACUUAGCUUGUACUAAUGUUAAAGACUAUAUUAUUUAACUAUAUUAGUUAACAUGAACAAAAAUUAUAUUUAUAU
ensembl:lncRNA